GGAGCCGCCUGAAGCAGCAGCCGGCCCUAUUCCUGCCCGUUUCUCUCACUCCCUACGACUGUGCUGCUGCAGGCUGCUCCCUUCAGCUCCUGCAAUUAGCGUUCGGUUCACCCCACGCGAUCCAACCGCCUCGCCAACCUCCCGGCCUGUGCCGCCGCCCCAAGCCGAGCCCGCUCGUCAGUUCGCACCUGCGGCCGUUAGGCACGAGCAGCGCAGCUCAGCUCAGCUCAGCUCACAGGUGCCGUUCCCGCCGCCGCAGGGCAGCGCAGCUCUGCUGUAACCGCCGUGUGCGGGCGGCUGCAGUGCCGCGUCCCUCCGCCGCGAGGGGCGCGCGCUCCGCCCGCCGCCGAGCAUCAGCCCCGCGCUGUGGGGAGGAGGAGGAGGAGAAGGAGAAGGAGGAGCAGGAGCGGCCCGGCCGCGGGCUCGGUGCCGCCUCGGAGGCCGGGGGUGGUGGCGACGGCGGAGCCAUGGCCGGUCCCGCCCCGAGGCGCUGAGGCAAAGAUCUGAUAUGCUGGCUUCUCAGCAGCCUCGGUGCCCGAAGUAGCACGUUGAACACUUCAGAGAGGAGUGGAUGUGAACUGCCCUAUGGAUAACAUCUUGGGUUCCUCUGCACAUACGUAGAAUAAACAAAACAGAAGCCCUGAAGUCGCAGAAUAAAGUGCUCUGAAAGGCAGAAAGAAUACAGUAUACACAGCUGGAGUUGUUUUGGAAGCUGUAUCCAUCCAGGGUUGAAAGGAAGAUGGGGAUAUAAUUCAGCAGUUACUUCUGGAGCAGCUGUUGUUCAUCUGGCUGACGGAGGGACCAGGAAAAAAGGUAAUCAACGUAUCACCUAAACAUUUGUGUCUG
rnacentral:lncRNA from 1 species